rnacentral:misc_RNA from 1 species
UCUCCGUAGGUGAACCUGCGGAGGGAUCAUUCACAUGAAUAUCCUUAACAACCAACCCGUGAACUGUUCUUUGGCUGAGAGUUAGAGUCUCUGGCCUGUGUUCGAUGAUAGGAAACUCGACUCGAUCCACAGGUGCAUGACGACCGUCAGGUGGUUUCGAUUGAUCUCUAACCGGAUCACUCGAGACGUGCUCGACUGACUCUCAAUCAAAGUCCUUGGCUGAGUCUUGUCUAGCAACCUGACUCAGACUUGGAACCCUUCAAACCACCUUCACACUUGGCUCGUCAAACAGCCUCGUGUCGAACAUUCGAUGAACAAAUAGAUAGCUGGACUUGGAUCGUAACAGAGAAAAGCCUCAGCUGACCUGUGAGUCCGUCAAACGACUCUCAGUGUCAUUCAAACAUAGAAAACAACUCUAUGCCCUGGAUAUCUUGGUUCUC